rnacentral:rRNA from 1 species
GACGAACGCUGGCGGCGUGCCUAAUACAUGCAAGUAGAACGCACAGUUUAUACCGUAGCUUGCUACACCAUAAACUGUGAGUUGCGAACGGGUGAGUAACGCGUAGGUAACCUGCCUGGUAGCGGGGGAUAACUAUUGGAAACGAUAGCUAAUACCGCAUAAUAUUAAUUAUUGCAUGAUAAUUGAUUGAAAGAUGCAAUUGCAUCACUACCAGAUGGACCUGCGUUGUAUUAGCUAGUAGGUGAGGUAACGGCUCACCUAGGCGACGAUACAUAGCCGACCUGAGAGGGUGAUCGGCCACACUGGGACUGAGACACGGCCCAGACUCCUACGGGAGGCAGCAGUAGGGAAUCUUCGGCAAUGGACGAAAGUCUGACCGAGCAACGCCGCGUGAGUGAAGAAGGGUUUCGGAUCGUAAAGCUCUGUUGUAAGAGAAGAACGGGUGUGAGAGUGGAAAGUUCACACUGUGACGGUAUCUUACCAGAAAGGGACGGCUAACUACGUG